GUUCUUAAAGGCCUGAUAAGGUUGUCCCCACAUGGCCAUGACAAUGCCUUCUCACCAUUUAAAUAAAUUGCUAUAGUAUUUUCUCCAUGAGAAGAUGAUGUUUUUACAAUUAUUCUUUUUCCUCAGCUAUGUACAGUGGGAUGUGCAUCUGUUUAUUACUUGCUGUGCUCUCAACGAGCUCAAUAGGACAGCAAACUACAGGUACUGUCAAUGAAGACCCAGGGGCUCCAGAAAUAGAGCAGCAGAGUCUACUGCAGCACCCAAGGCAUAUCCGUGCAUCCUCUACUGGCCAACUAAAGACCUUUCAGCGCAUAGAUGGAAAUGGAGAUCAAAAGGCUAAUUUUGGGGCAAUGUUGGCCAAAUAUCUGCAACAAAGAAAAG